CCUACGGGAGGCAGCAGUGGGGAAUAUUGCACAAUGGGCGGAAGCCUGAUGCAGCGACGUCGCGUGAGGGAUGGAGGCCUUCGGGUUGUGAACCUCUUUCGCCAGUGAGGAAGGCCUUGCCUGUGUGGUGGGGUUGACGGUAGCUGGGUUAAUUGAAGCGCCGGCUAACUACGUGCCAGCAGCCGCGGUAAUACGUAGGGCGCGAGCGUUGUCCGGAAUUAUUGGGCGUAAAGGGCUUGUAGGCGGUUGGUCGCGUCUGCCGUGAAAUCCUCUGGCUCAGCUGGGGGCGUGCGGUGGGUACGGGCUGGCUUGAGUGCGGUAGGGGAGGCUGGAACUCCUGGUGUAGCGGUGGAAUGCGCAGAUAUCAGGAGGAACACCGGUGGCGAAGGCGGGUCUCUGGGCCGUUACUGACGCUGAGGAGCGAAAGCGUGGGGAGCGAACAGGAUUAGAUACCCCUGUAGUC
rnacentral:rRNA from 1 species